UUUUUUUUUUUUCCUGCUUUUUAAGGCCACCCCUAUGGCACAUGGAAAUUCCCCAGCUAGGGUUUGAGUCAAAACUGCAGCUGAUGCCAGCCUACAUCACAGCCACAGCAACACCAGAUCCGAGCCACAUUGGUGACCUAUGCUGUAGCUCACGGCAAUGCCAGAUCCUUAGCCCACUGAGUGAGGCCAGGGAUUGAAACUGCAUCCUCAUGGAUACUAGUCUGGUUCCUAAACCACUGAGCCACAAUGGGAACUCCUGGACUUCACUUUAGCAAUGACUUUAUUUUAGACUGCUCUCUCUCUGGUGACACAUGAGCUAUUGCCAACAGAUCCUCUGAGGGCAAAGUCCUCAUGCCAGGUAGUGUGAAUUCCAAGUAGGCAAUGCUGUAGGAUUGGGAUAUGGUCUGUUUCUCAAAUAUUCACUGCCUUUGUGUAAACUACCACUGCCUGCUUUGUGCUCAGCACUGCAGGGGUAAGAAAGAACAGCCAGGAAAAUUUGUGAAAGACUUUUGUAAUGAAAAACUUAAAGUGUAAUGGUCAAAAAAGAUUAUGGGGUUUCUCUUCAAUGAAAUAUUGACCUUGUCUAGCAGACCUCAUACCGAGGAUCUCUGAUUCCAUAGGACUGAGCCCUUGUUUCUUUUUCUAGACCAUUUAUGACUUUGUAGAGACAGACGUUAACUUGCUGAGAAUAAGAUAGUUCCAGUCCUUGGCACUGCAAAUGACUUCUCUCUGAUAGAGAAGAGAAGAUUUUGGAAAUCAAAUUCUCAUUUGAACUACUUUUAACAUUUUUCGUAUUAAUUUAACAAUAAGUUAAAUAAAUCAUUGACACAUGCCCUUUUAUUAUGUUUACCUUUAAAAAAAAAUUACCCUUUAUUGGAAUAGGCAGGGUUUUCACCCCAAAGCCGUUACCAGAACGAAACAGGUAGGAAAUGAUAAAAAAUAGUACACAAUCUAGGGUUAAAUUUUAUGGAGGAAGAACAAAAAAUAUACAAAAGGGGAAGUUCUCUCUAGACUGUUGUGGGAAAUAACGAUUAAUCAAACAAAAACACACGAGGCUUUAGUCUCGGGAAAAAUUGCCGGAAACUAUUCUGUCCGUAAAAACUCUACUGUCUUAGGAAGACAACAGCUGAUUGUUCAUUGUUCCUUUAAUCCUCACAACAAUGACUGUCAUCUACUGGGAGGAAAUUUGCUUAAACUUCAUGCAUUGGCUUUAGGCUGUUACAUUUAUGUCCAUUUGUGACCGUUCUAGCUGCAUGGGUAGUUCUUAUUUUGUUAAUUUAACUUUUUCUACACACUUAAUACGUCACUGAAUUUGCAAAACCUCUUUGGAAAGGCUCUCUAUUCAUAUGGAAUUUUUUAUCUGAGAGAGAAAUAAAGGAUUUACAUUCUCUCUCCUCUUUUCUUUUUUUUUUUUUUUUUAGGGCCGCACCCCUGGCUUAUGGAAGUUCCCGGACUGGGGGUGGAAUUAGAGCUGCGACCGACCUACACCACAGCUCAAGGCACCACAGCUCACGGCACCACAGCUCAGAGUAAUGCCAGAUCCUUAACCCGCUGAGUGAGGCCUGGGAAUUGAACCUGCAUCCUCAUGGAUGCUGGUCAGAUUCGUUUUUUCUGAGCCACGACAGGAACUCCCUUUCUUAUUUAUUUUUUUCAUGGUGACUCUCAAGGUAUCUUGGUUUCCCAACCAUCCUGUGGGAGAGAAUGAGGCAGAGCUGGAGUUAUUUUCCGACCAGGCCCCUCUGCCACUGGGCUGGACCAGGGAUCUGGGAGAAUCCUGCAGCAUCCUCUGCCCGCUCUAUCCUUUCUGCUUUUCUCUGCAGGAAUAAUGCCCAGCACUUAUGGCUCAGGCACAUUGUUCUUGAAGGACUUUCCUUGGACAACAGUUCAGGCUUUACUCUUGCUUCUUCUGG
rnacentral:lncRNA from 1 species